CCACAUGAUGAUAAAUCCAUUUUGGAAUCUCGUUCGUCUGAAUUCCUGUUGAUGUUAAAUAACCUGACACCC
ensembl:snoRNA SNORD30 Small nucleolar RNA SNORD30